rnacentral:rRNA from 1 species
UACGGAAGGCAGCAGUGGGGAAUAUUGCACAAUGGGCGCAAGCCUGAUGCAGCCAUGCCGCGUGUAUGAAGAAGGCCUUCGGGUUGUAAAGUACUUUCAGCGGGGAGGAAGGCGAUGCGGUUAAUAACCGCGUCGAUUGACGUUACCCGCAGAAGAAGCACCGGCUAACUCCGUGCCAGCAGCCGCGGUAAUACGGAGGGUGCAAGCGUUAAUCGGAAUUACUGGGCGUAAAGCGCACGCAGGCGGUCUGUUAAGUCAGAUGUGAAAUCCCCGGGCUUAACCUGGGAACUGCAUUUUGAAACUGGCAGGCUUGAGUCUUGUAGAGGGGGUAGAAAUUCCAGGUGUAGCGGUGAAAUGCGUAGAGAUCUGGAGGAAUACCGGUGGCGAAGGCGGCCCCUGGGACAAAGACUGACGCUCAGGUGCGAAAGCGUGGGGAGCAAACAGGAUUAGAUACC